rnacentral:misc_RNA from 1 species
AUGGCGGAUGCGGACUUGGAUAUCGACAAUCUCAUACAGAGAUUGCUUGAAGUAUAUCAAACGCAGAACGAACAACAGGUUCAGAAAAAGGCCAAGCUUAAAGACAUUUUUACCCCAGACUUUGUCGUGAGAGGAUGUCGACCUGGGAAGUCCGUGGUGAUGACAGAAACGGAAGUUCGAGGCCUUUGCUUAAAAUCGAGAGAGAUUUUCCUUCAACAACCAAUACUGUUGGAGUUGGAGGCUCCAUUGAAGAUAUGCGGAGAUAUUCAUGGCCAAUACACGGACUUACUACGGCUUUUUGAGUAUGGUGGCUUUCCUCCAGAAGCCAACUAUCUCUUUUUAGGUGACUACGUGGACAGGGGAAAACAGUCUUUGGAAACAAUAUGUCUUCUCCUCGCCUACAAGAUAAAAUACCCUGAAAAUUUCUUUCUGCUACGAGGCAACCAUGAAUGUGCCAGUAUAAACAGGAUAUACGGGUUUUAUGAUGAAUGUAAACGCAGAUAUAACAUCAAGUUAUGGAAAACUUUCACUGACUGUUUCAACUGCUUGCCAAUCGCAGCUAUAAUAGAUGAAAAAAUAUUUUGCUGCCAUGGUGGACUAAGUCCCGACCUACAGGGUAUGGAACAAAUACGAAGAAUUAUGCGCCCGACUGAUGUUCCAGACACAGGUCUCUUGUGCGAUCUUCUCUGGUCUGACCCUGACAAAGAUGUUCAGGGAUGGGGUGAAAACGAUAGAGGAGUAUCUUUUACGUUUGGCCCCGAUGUGGUUUCAAAAUUCCUCAGCCGUCACGAUAUGGAUCUCAUCUGCAGAGCUCAUCAAGUAGUCGAAGAUGGUUAUGAAUUUUUCGCAAAACGGCAACUCGUCACCCUUUUCUCGGCUCCUAACUAUUGCGGGGAGUUCGACAACGCGGGUGGAAUGAUGAGCGUCGAUGAAACUUUGAUGUGUAGUUUUCAGAUUUUGAAGCCGUCCGAGAAGAAAGCGAAAUAUCAAUACAGUGGCAUGACUGCGCAGGGCGGUAGACCCUCGACACCUCAAAGGAAUCCAACGAAAAAAAAAUGACCGCCUACUGCUGAUCCCGCGUAGCAGCAAACACUGUCGUUCUAGGUAAGACAAUAACCAGCUUCGAAAGUCUUAUCCGGGCGCAAGUGACCGAAUCAUUUAAACGUAAGAGAUAAUCUAUUUUGACUUUCGUGACUAUCAGACGGAAAAAGUUCUCUCAAUAUCCAGAUAUUUCCUAAUAGGAGAUUCGAUCUCCGUCUAAUGAAACUAUUAUUGCAAAUAAAUGCAGGAAGGACGCGGGGCUUCAGUGACACAGAUUGGAGGAGCUGUGGAACGCGUCACUUCAGUACAUACUAAACUCAUAAUUAUUCAAUCUUGAAAUAAGUAACAACCUUUUCCUUAAUAUAUCCUAAUACUACUGUUACAAAACGAUGUUAUGUUUCAUUACAAUAUUCAGUGAAAAAUUUUGUUCCUCUAGAAUACAGUUGUCGAAUAGGGACUACCGAGGCAAGACAGGGUGCUUUGGGGAAAGCAGGGCAUAACAAAGUUUCGUAAAAGUAAGUUACCAAGAAACAAGUGAUUUUUCUGUGCCGACCAACUGUAUUCUUUCUCAAAGUACCCUAUUUUGCCAUACUUAGAAUUCAGAUUCUUCACGGGUGAUCGCCAAUUUUCCGAUCUUUGCCAUUUAGUCGACAUUCAUCUAUCUAUCGAUCUAUCUUUGCGUUUAACAGCAUUUCAGUUUUCAUUUAACUAUUUAUUUUUAUCGUAAGCGCCUAGUUCCGAAAAUGUAAUUUAAUAAUUGGUGAUAUUCGGCAAGGAACGCCGUACUUACGUGUAAAUUAUUGUUGAGGAACCUCUAUCAUUGUUCAUCGCUUUUUUUAAUCGUUUAUAAUGUACCAUUGUAUCCUAUGGUUUACCAGAUACACAAUUCCAUGUAUUAGCUUGUAAAGUAGUCGCGUAAUGCACAGGACACAAUGUUACGGCAAAAAGUUUGGUGAUAUAUAACGAUGGUGGAAUUUGUUUUCAAUGUAAUAGGCCUUCAUUUAUUUUCUGCAUUUAAAAUGACUAAAGAAAAAAAUCAUAACGAAGUAUAAGCAGUAUUCCGAUGAUACUAACAAUAAGAUGAUGCUUCUAUAUUGAUGCGCCUUUAUUCGACGUAUAUUUUAAGGGGAUUAUGUAUUGAUCGAGAAAAAAACGGGGGACAAUGUAAUGGUAGCAGGAUUACAACCAGUAAAUCAGUUAUUUCCUAAUGAUCCGUUUAACCAGUGAAAUAAAUAUGUAAUAGAUCUUAAGGGCACUCCUCCCGGCUAUUGUACAAAGUUAAGAUACUCUAUCGUGUUUUAUUGUGUUGAAAAAAAAAGAACCAAUUAGCACGAUUUAAUGUUAUGGAGAAUAAGAGAUAUUUAUUUUCACUUUA